AUUGAACGCUGGCGGCAGGCCUAACACAUGCAAGUCGAACGAGUGGCGGACGGGUGAGUAAUGUCUGGGAAAUUGCCUGAUGUAGGGGGAUAACUACUGGAAACGGUAGCUAAUACCGCAUACCAUCGGAUGUGCCCAGAUGGGAUUAGCUAGUAGGUGGGGUAAAGGCUCACCUAGGCGACGAUCCCUAGGUGGUCUGAGAGGAUGACCAGGCACACUGGAACUGAUACACGGUCCAGACGCCUACGGGAGGCAGCAGAGGGGAAUAUUGCACAAUGGGCGCAAGCCUGAUGCAGCCAUGCAGCGUGUAUGAAGAAGGCCUUCGGGUUGUAAAGUUCUUUCAGCAGGGAGGCGUUACCCGCAGAAGAAGCACCGGCUAACUCCGUGCCAGCAGCCGCGGUAAUUC
rnacentral:rRNA from 1 species